GACGAACGCUGGCGGCGUGCUUAACACAUGCAAGUCGAACGGAAAGGCCCUGCUUUUGUGGGGUGCUCGAGUGGCGAACGGGUGAGUAACACGUGAGUAACCUGCCCUUAACUUUGGGAUAACUUCAGGAAACUGGGGCUAAUACCGGAUAGGAGCUCCUGCUGCAUGGUGGGGGUUGGAAAGUUUAGGCGGUUGGGGAUGGACUCGCGGUUAAUUAGCUUGUUGGUGGGGUAUUGGCCUACCAAGGCUUCGACGGGUAGCCGGCAUGAGAGGUGGAACGGCGUCAUGGGGACUGAGAGACGCCCCAGACUCGUACGGGAGGCAGCGGGGGGGAAUAUUGCACAAUGAGCGGAAGCCUGAUGCAGCAACGCCGCGUGCGGAAUGACGGCCUUCGGGUUGUAAACCGCUUUCACCUGUGACGAAGCGUGAGUGACGGUAAUGAGUAAAGAAGCACCGGCUAACUACGUG
rnacentral:rRNA from 1 species